UAUCUCUGUAGAGUCUGCAUAUCAAUAAGCGGAGGAAAAGAAACUAACUAGGAUUCCCUCAGUAACGGCGAGUGAAGCGGGAAGAGCUCAAAUUUGAAAUCUUCAAGGUUCUACCUUGACGAAUUGUAGUUUAAAGAAGUGUUUUCUGUUGGAGUUUUGGUAAAAGUUCUUUGGAAUAGGACAUCAUAGAGGGUGAGAAUCCCGUAUUUGACCAUUAUUUCCAGCUUUGUGAUACACUUUCAAAGAGUCGGAUUGUUUGGGAAUGCAGUCCAAAAUGGGUGGUAAAUUUCAUCUAAAGCUAAAUACUGGCGAGAGACCGAUAGCGAACAAGUACCGUGAGGGAAAGAUGAAAAGAACUUUGAAAAGAGAGUUAAACAGUACGUGAAAUUGUCAAAAGGGAAGCGUUUGACACCAGUGUUGUUUUCUCGAAAAUCAAUUAAAAAAGGCAGGAUUUUGUGUUGUAUUGACUUUAUCAGCUUUCUGCACUCUUUUCUUGCCUUUUUUUAAUGCACUUUUCGUUUAACAAGUCAACAUCAAUUUCUUUUGUUGUAAAAGAGUCAUUGGAAGGUGGCCUCUCACUUCGGUGAAAGUGUUUAUAGCCUUUGGCUUCUGCAAUCGGAGAGAUUGAGGUCUGCAGCGUAGAUCCUUCGGGGACUAGAUACGUAGAUGCUAAGUUAUAGUUUUUUAUAGACAACUUGUUGACUAUAAUUAAUCAUGUAGCUUACUCGUUUGCGCUAUUUUACCUACGCUUAGGAUGUUGAAGUCAUCGUAUCGCGC
rnacentral:rRNA from 1 species